rnacentral:rRNA from 1 species
GACGUAGGGCGCGAGCGUUGUCCGGAUUUAUUGGGCGUAAAGAGCUCGUAGGCGGCUUGUUGCGUCAGCUGUGAAAACCCGCAGCUCAACUGUGGGCUUGCAGCUGAUACGGGCAGGCUUGAGUUCGGUAGGGGAGACUGGAAUUCCUGGUGUAGCGGUGAAAUGCGCAGAUAUCUGGAGGAACACCGGUGGCGAAGGCGGCAUCCUGGACCGGCAUUGACGCUGAGGAGCGAAAGCCAGGGGAGCAAACGGG